UGAACUUGUGUUAAAGCAUAGAUUGAAGAGUUAGAGGGAUAGGAAACGAAGUGGUGCACGUGAUGAUUUUACAUUGAAUCUGCAGUGGAGCCUCGAAAACUAUCCUCGCCCUAUGAACGAGGCUAUUAUGCCGGGUAACUCCCUCAAAAUAAGAAAGUUGUGUUUCCUCGAGACAUCAUCUCUUUCAGCAAUUUAUAACACGCCUAGUCCAUGAGCCACGUGUAGUACUUGCUAAUGACUGACCACACCCAUGCAGUAAAAAAAGACUUUCUAUAUGUUCCCAAGGCUGUUUUAGAGCUAAAGGAACAUGUAACGUGUAAGCGUGCUGGUUAUGACUACUACAAUAGGUAUAGACCUUGAAAUAUAAUUGGUCCACCAACCCUAUGCCAAGAAUGUCCAACCCUGUGCCAAGAAUGUCCUGGUUGGCUCCAACAUGAGCAUCAAGAUCUACAAUGUGGGCUCCUUCGACAUGACCUUUGAGAGCAGAGACUCAUGAGCAUCAAGAUCUACAAUGUGGGCUCCUUCGACAUGACCUUUGAGAGCAGAGACUCGUCAUGAAGUGGCUAGCCCCAGAGACUCUCUUUGAUCAGGCUGCCACUACAUACAGCGAUGUGAUACCUACAUACACUGUAGAUGUUAUUGUCUCUGCUUUUUAUGUGCAUGCAUGUCCUGCAAAUAUUAUUAGCAUGCAAUGUCAAGUACGUAGAUCAAUUGUGACCCAUGCUCAAUGUUUUGCAGGCGAUCGUUUGGUGUGGCACUGUGGGAGCUGGUGACUGUGGGGGGUACCCCCUAUGGGGAGAUUCAGCCUGAGGACCUCUAUACUCACAACUCAUGAACGGAAUGAGAAUGCCCUGUCCUCAGCACUGCGCCCAAGAAAUCCAUGAACUCAUGCUGGAUUGUUGGAGGAGGAAUCCAGUGGAUCGCCCACACUUCUCUGUUAUCCAUGAGAAGCUUGAAGACCUGGCUAAUUCUAAAGUGAAUCUGUUGGACUUCCAAAACUAUGACAUGUACAUCUACUCUCAAUUUGAAGAACCCGUCGCUCUCUCAACUGUUCUAUAGCACUAACACUCUGUCAUGGCACUCAACAACCAUUUUUAUUUAUCUUUUUGUUUCUGUCUCACAAUCAUUUAUCUAUUUUCUUGACCUUGGUAAUUUGUUUUUAGUUUUUCUUCCGUGUUGUUUUUGUACGUACGUACAAUUUAUACAUCAGCUGCAGUUGUAAUACUAUAACGUCACGUAUCUAUACUAUUAUAAUUGAUAUACAGUA